UAUAGUAGGAGAUUGAAGGGAAGGGAAGGCUGGAGCUGGUCUGGUCCCUAUAUCUUAGUACUCAGCGCUGAGAGUGGCACGGGGAAAAGCCGAGGUGGGCAGAGAAGCUGUUUUCGUGCGCCUUUAUGGAGGCUUGGCCCUGGUAUUGAAUCCAAACUGGGAAGGUUGAGAGACCCCAUCUCAAUCAGGGGAAUCUGAGACAGUGGCUAGACUGAAGCCAGCCUGGGUAGGCAGUGCUGCAACAAGGCCUCUUCGCUUCCCUUAAGGGCCAGCCAACGUUGGAAUAUUGCUUCGAAAGCACUUUACAUAACUCAGCAAUGUUAUGUCCAUGCUACUGGAAAUCAGAGUGGAUAAGGCACAUCUUCAGGAUAGCGGGGCUUCAGCAGAGAGUAUUCGCAUGAGCGUGACACCUGAAGUCAGGCUGGCUGCUAGCUCCUUGCAUUUGAAACUAAAAGGAAACAUAACAUGACACAGUGCUUUGUCUCUCAAGAUGAGUGAGUAAAAAUGCUGAUAGAGUAGCUCCGCCACUGCAUCUUCACCCUGACUUGCAAUGCCCUCAUCCUGUUCUACUCGUCUAACCAUAGAAAUGUAGGGCUGGAAGGGACUUCAAGAGGUCAUCUAAUCAAUCCGUCCAUGCAGAGGCAGCACUGAAACAUGCUGCCACCCACAUACCCACAUGGAAAGCAUCGGAGAAGAGUAAACCAGAAAUAAACCCAUUCCAGGGGGAUGGAGAGAAAAAUACCCACAAAGAUAAUUGGGAG